UAGUGGUGUACUGAUAAAUUGGCUUUUAAGUUAAAGUUAUAACGUUCUUAUACUUUUAUGUUCCAAAACAAAAUAUUCCCUGCACUUCAUAACAAUACAUAUAAAUUAACAUAAUUGUAAUACAAUUUUAAAACAUGGUUGAUAUCAAAUAUUAUACAACAAUUUUAUCUCAAACGUUUUCUCCUUGUGGGAACUAUUUGAUUACCGGUAAUAAUUAUGGAAUUUUAACCGUCUACAAUCUAAAAAAUGAAUUGCAGUCGGGAAACGACUUCAAAGAUCAAAAUUUGUCAGUUGGCGGUCGAUCUUAUGAAUUUGAGAUGAUACGUAAAAUGCAAAUAAACAGCAUGGAAUCUGGCGAAAAAUUUUUAAUAAUUGGUGGUGUUGGACUCAUUGUAGGAGUGGAUUGGGAUACCAUUAUCGACAAUAAUUUUGGCGAAAACUCAAAAGUCGAACCCCUCAGUAUUAGUUGGAGUAUUAAUAUUCCAUCGCCCAAGGAUUCAAUGUUAACUAUAGACGUAAAUUGUUUAAUAUUAAACAAAGAGGAUAAUGUCUUAUAUGCAGGUUGUGGCGACAAUACUGUUUAUGCCUUUAAUUUAGAAUGUGGUGAUGUUAUGCAGAAAUUAGAAGGGCACAGUGAUUUUAUUCAUUCCAUUGAUAAAUUAGAUGAUACAAUUGUCUCAGCUAGUGAAGAUGGAUCUGUCAUGUUUUGGGAUGUUCGUUCUAAAGAUUAUUCAUCAAAAAUCAUUCCCAGCAGUAAUCCAGAAAUCAAACGACCCAAUCUUGGAAAUUGGAUUGGAUCUGUUACAAUCACUAAAGAUUGGAUGUUAUGUGGUGGUGGAACAAAACUGUCAUUAUGGAAUCGUUCUAUGGCUGCCCCAAUGACAGUAUACAAUUGUGUUGAAGAUUCUGGAAUACAUGUUACUAAACUUAUGGAUGAAACAUUAUAUGCCGGAGGAUGCUCAAAAUAUUUUUAUCAGUUAUCAUUUACGGAUGAAAUUUUGUGUAAAAUUGAAACCAGUCCAGUGACUGUUUUCAGUUGUGUUAACCAAGAAAAUCCGUUCAAAGUGAGUUUUUAUAUUUUUUUUUAAAUAAUAAUUAUUUUGUUAGAACUAAAAACAAUACAAUUGAGAGCACCUACAACCACGGAUCAUAAAUACUAUACUCCGGCCUACAAGAGUGCAUUACCAAAACGCAUCCGAUUCCGCACAUCCCCCACUCAACGACAAUGGUUCGUUAAUGUUUGGUACGUUUGGCAACACCCAUCGCUAUAAUUUAUAUAUAUGUAUACAACCUAUACCAUCGAGGCAAAAAAAAUGGAGGAAAUUGUGCUUCGUACUGGUCACUGCCGUCAAAAACGGUAACAUGUCUUGCAGGUUCAAGCUAUAAAAUAGAUAUUUGCACAAAUUUAAAUUACAAAAUGACUACACUUGGAAUCUAAAUUAAAUAUGUUUAUUUCUGAAGUACUAAAUUUCGGUAAAAUAUUGAACUGUAAAAGAUUUUUUUCAACAUUAUAACAAUCAUAAUAGUUAGUAGGUACUUACUGUUUGCACACUUGUAUGUAUCUACUUAUUCCAUAUAUUUAAGUAGAAAUUGAUAAAAUAUAUAAUAUCCUUGGUAUAUGUCUA
rnacentral:misc_RNA from 1 species